rnacentral:rRNA from 12 species
ACCUCAAAUCAGGAAAGGAUACCCCCUGAAUUUAAGCAUAUAACUAAGGGGAGGAAAAGAAACUAACGAGGAUUCCCCCAGUAACGGCGAGUGAAGCGGGAAGAGCUCAAAUUUGAAAUCUGGUAGCCUUCGGUUGCCCGAGUUGUAAUCUAGAGAAAUGUUUUCCGUGCCGGCCCAUGUACAAGUCCCUUGGAACAGGGCGUCAUAGAGGGUGAGAAUCCCGUCCUUGACAUGGACCCCCGGUGCUUUGUGAUACAUUUUCAACGAGUCGAGUUGUUUGGGAAUGCAGCUCAAAUUGGGUGGUAAAUUCCAUCUAAAGCUAAAUAUUGGCGAGAGACCGAUAGCGAACAAGUACCGUGAGGGAAAGAUGAAAAGCACUUUGGAAAGAGAGUUAAACAGUACGUGAAAUUGUUGAAAGGGAAACGAUUGAAGUCAGUCAUGCUCUUUGGUAUUUAUAUCAUUGAGUGGGGUCAACAUCAGUUUUGAUCGAUGGAUAAAGGCACUAGGAAUGUAGCACUCUCGGGUGAACUUAUAGCCUAGCGUCAUAUACAUUGAUUGGGACUGAGGAACGCAGCAUGCCUUUAUGGCCGGGAUUCGUCCACGUACAUGCUUAGGAUGUUGACAUAAUGGCUUUAAACGACCCGUCUUGAAACACGGACCAAGGAGUCUAAC